rnacentral:lncRNA from 1 species
AAAAAGUGAGAAUUAUAAUAUAACAAGAAUGCGUCGACGAAUCAGAUGGAUCCGAGAAUAAGAGUGAUGAAAGAAAGAGGAGUGGAGCGAAGAAGGAGAUGAGAAAAGGUAUAUCACUUUCUUUCUCAACUUAAUCCUAAUUUAAAAUUAAUAUAAAUAUCGUAAAAAAUAGUAAUAACUGAGAUUAAGUGAAGGAUAUUAG